CCUACGGGAGGCUGCAGUGGGGAAUAUUGGACAAUGGGGGCAACCCUGAUCCAGCCAUGCCGCGUGUGUGAAGAAGGCCCUCGGGUUGUAAAGCACUUUCAGUGAGGAAGAACGCCUGGUGGUUAAUACCCAUCAGGAAAGACAUCACUCACAGAAGAAGCACCGGCUAACUCCGUGCCAGCAGCCGCGGUAAUACGGAGGGUGCGAGCGUUAAUCGGAAUUACUGGGCGUAAAGCACGCGUAGGUGGCUUGAUAAGCCGGUUGUGAAAGCCCCGGGCUCAACCUGGGAACGGCAUCCGGAACUGUCAAGCUAGAGUGCAGGAGAGGAAGGUAGAAUUCCCGGUGUAGCGGUGAAAUGCGUAGAGAUCGGGAGGAAUACCAGUGGCGAAGGCGGCCUUCUGGACUGACACUGACACUGAGGUGCGAAAGCGUGGGUAGCAAACAGGAUUAGAUACCCGUGUAGUC
rnacentral:rRNA from 1 species